GACGAACGCUGGCGGCGUGCUUAACACAUGCAAGUCGAACGGAAAGGCCCUGCUUUUGUGGGGUGCUCGAGUGGCGAACGGGUGAGUAACCCGUGAGUAACCUGCCCUUGACUUUGUGAUAACUUCAGGAAACUGGUGCUAAUACCGGCUAGGAGCUCCUGCUGCAUGGUGGGGGUUGGAAAGUCUCGGGGGUGGGGGGUCUACUCGCGGCUUAUCAGCUUGUUGGUGGGGUAGUGGCUUACCAAGGCUUUCACGGGUAGCCGGCCUGAGAGGGUGACCGGCCACACUGGGACUGAGAUACGGCCCAGACUCGUACGGGAGGCAGCAGUGGGGAAUAUUGCACAAUGGGCGGAAGCCUGAUGCAGCAACGCCGCGUGCGGGAUGACGGCUUUCGGGUUGUAAACCGCUUUCGCCUGUGACGAAGCGUGAGUGACGGUAAUGGGUAAAGAAGCACCGGCUAACUACGUG
rnacentral:rRNA from 1 species